GUAUUAUGUGGUAUAGGGGUGGAUGAAGCACUUGAUUUGCAUGCAAAAGGUCCUGGGUUCAAAUCCCAGCAUCUCCA